GGUUCACCCCACACGUACCCGUCAUGGACAGCCUGCUUUUCUAUGUUAUAUAGACUUGCAUGUUACUAUUCAGAGUCAGGAUAUUCUAUAUAGUGUGAAUAUUCCCUCAAAAAGCUUGAUUCUAGUGCAAAAUGAUCAAUAUGUAAAAUCCAAACAAGUAAUUGCGGAGAUUCGUGCCGGAACGUCCACUUUACAUUUUAAAGAAAGGGUACAAAAACAUAUUUAUUCCGAAUCAGACGGAGAAAUGCACUGGAGUACUGAUGUUUAUCAUGCGCCCGAAUAUCAAUAUGGUAAUCCUCGUCGAUUACCAAAAACAAGUCAUUUAUGGAUAUUGUCAGUAAGUAUGUGCAGAUCCAGUAUAGGGUCUUUUUCACUCCACAAGGAUCAAGAUCAAAUGAAUACUUAUGGUAAAAAAGAUAGGGAAAUUCUUGAUUCUUCAACGUCGAAUCGAAUCAUGUCCAACGGCCUUUGGAAUUUUAUCUAUCCUUCUAUUUUUUAAGAUAGUUCGGAUUUGUUGGCGAAAAAGCGAAGAAAUAGGCUCACCAUUCCAUUACAAUAUCAUCAAGAACAAGAGAAAGAAUUCAUAUCCUGUUUGGGGAUUUCGAUUGAAAUACCCUUUAUGGGUGUUUUACGUAGAAAUACUAUUUUUGCUUAUUUUGAUGAUCCACAAUACAGAAAAGAUAAAAAGGGUUCAGGAAUUGUUAAAUUUAGAUAUAGGACCCUAGAAUACGAAUAUAGGAUUCGAGAGGAAUACUCAGAAGACAAAUAUGAGACCCUAGAAGACGAAUAUAGGAUUCGAGAGGAAUACUCAGAAGACAAAUAUGAGACCCUAGAAGAUGAAUAUGAAACCCUAUAUAAAAAUGAGAUCCUACAGGACGAAUACGAAUAUGAAACCCUAGAAGACGCAUAUGGGAGGCCAGAGAACGAAUAUGGGAAUCUAGAGAACGAAUAUAGGACUUUAGAGAAAGAUUCAGAAGAUGAAUAUAGGAGCCCAGAGAGCAAAUAUAGGACCCGAGAGGACAAAUAUGGAACUCUAGAGGAAGACUCAGAAGACGAAUACGAGAGCCUGGGUGAAAGCUCAGAGGACAAAUAUGGGAGGACUUUAGAGGAAGACUCAGAAGAAGACUCAGAAGACGAAUAUGAGAGCCCAGAGGAGGAUUCCAUCUUCAAAAAGGAGGAUUUGAUUGAGCAUCAAGGAACAAAAGAAUUUAGUAUAAAAUACCAAAAAGAAGUAGAUCGGUUUUUUUUCAUUCUUCAAGAACUGCAUAUCUUGCCGAGAUCUUCAUCCCUAAAGGUAUGCGACAAUAGUAUUAUUGGGGUGGAUACACAACUCACAAAAAAUACAAGAAGUCGACUAGGUGGACUGGUCCGAGUGAAGAGAAAAAAAAGCCAUACGGAACUCAAAAUAUUUUCCGGAGAUAUUCAUUUUCCUGAAGAGGCGGAUAAGAUAUUAGGUGGCUGUUUGAUACCACCAGAAAGACAAAAAAAAGAUUCUAAGGAAUCAAAAAAAAAGGCAAAAUUGGGUCUAUGUUCAACGGAAAAAAAUUAUCAAGAGCAAGGAAAAGUAUUUUGUUUCGGUUCGCCCUGCAGUCGCAUAUGAAAUCGACGGAGGGAUAAAUUUAGCAACACUUUUCCCACAGGAUCUCUUGCAAGAAGAAGAUAAUCUCCAACUUCGACUUGUCAAUUUUAUUUGUCAUGAAAAUAGCAAGUUAACUCAAAGAAUUUAUCAAACAACUAGUCAAUUUGUUAGAACUUGCUUAGUAGUGAAUUGGGAACAAGAAGAAAAAGAGGAGGCUUGUAACAUCCCAGAAUUUUCCAAUUCUGGAAUGUUAAAUAAAAUAAUUAUUUUAAUGAAAAUAUUGGCUUCGAAAAUAUUUUGGUUGUGAAUUUCCGAAGAAUUUGAAAUUUUUAGGACUUAUUUAAAUUUUUCCACACCAUGUUUGAAUAAUCAACAAAAGAGUGGAUUAAUUUGACUAUCCAAAUUAUACAACAUGGUUGGGACAUUUACAUAAGUUCAAAGUAUUCUAUUUGGAAUCAUUUGCAUAUUAUGAUUCUAGCCGAACUAUUAUUCGCAUCUAGUAAAUCCUAUUUUCUUUCUGAAGGAUUUAUUAACACACUAAGAUUCCAAUUUGGAUGCCAUGACCAUUUGAGAGCAUCGUUGGAAUAUUUAAAUCGAUUAGAAAUGUUCUCCAACAUUUAUCUAAAUGAUAAAGAGAGGGAAUAAUGUGACUUUCCCAAGUAUAUGAUUGGAAAACAUAUAUAAUGAUUCACCUAUGUUUCUCUCGAUAUUUGCUUUGGCGUGUUCAUUUUGUUUUCGAGAAGAAACUAUCAAAUAUUCGAGAAGAGGAUAACGUGACAUCCUUGUGUGCAAAUGUUAUUCCAACAUUUAUUCCGUCGUUGAGAGUGGGAUAACGUGACUUCCCAAAUAUAUAUAUAGUUGGAAACAUCUGCGAUGGUUUACAUGAUUUGAGAUUUGGUGUUAUAAAGCUAUUAAGGAAUUUUAUUGAACCGUAUAAUUAUUGUGAGAUCUUCUUUGGAGUUCAACCCAAUGGGGUAUUUAGCUAAAAAAAGAUUUUAGUGCAAAGUAUGCCAACCCAAUAUGUUUAUUGGAGUUUAAACUAAUUCAUGAAACAAAUGUUUCAUAAUAGAUUUCAAAACCUAUUUUAGGUAUUACUUAUAAAGCUCUAAUGACAUUUAUAUAAGCAAAAGUAUUUUUUUACUUAUUUUAUUUUUGAAAAGAUUCAAGUCCCAAAAGCUCACACUUUGGAUAAUUUGAAUUUACAAAUUUUCUGAAAUUUAUUUGGACUUAUUUGGAGUUAGGAAUCAAAAGUUAUUAAAAAAAAAAGAAAAAAAAAAGAGAAUGUACCGACCCAACUGGGCCGGCCCAUCUCCACCGAACGCCCCAGCCAGGCAGGAGCUCGUGCUUCCUCCUCCUCUGCACGUAAGAAAUCCUUUCUUUCCAUAUUUUCUUCCUUCAAUUUCUUUCCUUUCCGCACGUCUCUCUCCAAAAGGAAACCACCCCAUCAAUCCUCACCAUCUCGGGAAUCCAUUCAGGAAAUCAAUUUGAAGUUUCCUCUAAUUAUCGCAGUUUCCAAAAUAGGUGCCCCGAAUGUCGGCCGUCGACAUCCACGCCCGAUCUCCCUCCUCGGCCACUAUAAAAGGAUUCCACGCGCGUCACUUUGAGCUUUUGCCUCUCUUCUCCCAUUCCCAUGUAGAAAGUUUGGCCUCAAAACCUCUGUACGGCCGGCUAUGUCGACGUCUUCCUCCGCCGGUCACCGCCACAAUUGUUGCCGGUGAGAUCACCCCGAAUCUCCGUUCUUCGAUUCUUUUCACCGGUAGACUCAUGUGACCGUUACCUACCUUUUUGACAAGGUUUCGUGACCUCUUGAUGCCGUUGGCCGCGUCGUCCCCGACCUCAUGCCAAAGCCGCGCCCGGAGCUCCGCCCGUCGCCAUCCGGAGAUGCUACGACCGUGCAAGCCGCGUCACGGUGUCCGCCUCAACGUCUUACACCGCCCCACCGAACCCUAGGUCAACAUCAUCGCCGUCCUUCUUCAACUCCGGCGAACUCCGUGUCUUUUCCGGUGAGCAACUUUUCAGCCGCAGCAGUUUUGAUUAGCCAUGUUUGGAAGCCCAUAUCUUUUGAUCAGUGUAUCAUUUUUGUCCGAAUCUUUCUGUUGUAGUUAGAGCACGUCCACCUCUCUAUACCAGACUAGAUUUUAUACCCCGUCUCCAUGAUCUUCAGUACGGCAUCUUCGUUGGAAAUUGCUAUUCACAGUAUGCUGUUUCUGGAUUAGCCACCUUUCGAAAUUCAUAUAAAUUGUUCAAUUGAUCCGUUUGGUUCCAAACCUUCUGUUUUUCAUCAAUUAGAUCAUUUUUUACACAUUAGUGUACACCUUGCACAACUUAAGAUUCAUCUACAGAGGUGCAUCUUCAAUCAAAAGUCGUAUCUGUUAACACUGUCACAUCAGUUAGCUAUCUUCCGGAGCCUAUAUCUUGUGAUCCAUUACUUGAAAUUAGAUGAUUCUUUCUUUCAUGUCAAGAUCAAGUCCAAAUAUAAAUUCUAGACCUAUUUUAACAACUUUCCAAGUUCAUCCACACUAGUGCGUCGUCGUUGCAAAAUAGUACCUCCAGCAGUUUUCCACACUUGGCCAAUUCUAAGCCUUUAGUUACAGAAAUUUUGUUAUAGAUUAGCCUGUUUUUUAAGCCUGUAUCUUUUGACUCACAACACCUAUUUAGGUUAAACCAGUGUCUUUUCAAAGAUUGUUAGAUCUAGUUUAAUUUAUACCAUUGGUACUUUGUCUUUUGAAGCCAUUAGCACCAGUACAUUUUCAGUAGAAGUUAGUAUCUUUAAUCUGUCAGAAUCAGACUAGCCAGCUUUGCAAGCCAGUAGGUAUUUCUCUGUAGAUCCUUUUGGGAUGAAACUUGUUGGGUUAGCAAGUGAAAUCUUAAUACUAUACAGUAGUAUACUUUUCAUCUCAUGUUCUGUCAUUUAGCACCAUUUGACAAACAGCCAAAGUAUCUAAGUUAUAACAGUUCAUAUAGACUUAAAUUCCAGACUUAGCCACAUUAGUCCAUGCCCAACCAAACUUUGUAUCUGUUAACACUAUCUUAUUGAUUAGCAAUGUUCCAAAGCCCAUACAUGUUGAUCCAUAUUUCCAAACCAGUUCAUUCUUUCUGUGGUGACUAGAGUACACCAAACUCUAAUUUCUGGACCACUUUGUACACCUUCCAAAGUUAAUUUACAGUAACCCAUGACCCCUAGAAAAUUGUAUCUGUUAGCAAACAUUGACUUCACCGUUUCAACUCCGAUAGAACCCAAGCCUUGUUCCUACCUCUUAGAUCUAUGCCUAGGAUAGCCUAACAGUAGUUAGGUACUGUUUAAUUUAAACUUCGUAUAUUGUUUUGGUUCUUUAUUUGGAGUUAUGAUUUGGAGUUCUCGAAUAGUCAUUUAUUAUUGCUUUUCGUUCUUCGCGAUAGAUUAUACGGAGUGCGGUAACUGUGAGUAUCGAAAAGAAGAAGAAUACAAAGACACUAAUCAGGCAAGUUCACUUUGAUCAUUCACCUAUUACUUUAUUAUGCUCUAGAUUUUAUUAGUUGCAUUGUUAGGAUUAUUAUUGUAUCUAUGCUAGCUAUGAUCGGUCCUACUAGUAUUGGAUACCUUUGUCAUGACCCUCACCACCAAUUGCCAUCGUAGUAGUAAAAUGCUAUGCUAUGAUAAUAUACGAGGGUGGUAUUAUUACAAAUAUGGUACUAUUGAAUUACAAUAUGAUUUUCCUAGUGUAUGGCAAAACAAGUAAUUCAAUGAAUCGUCCUGGGUGGGCUGCUUUGAGUUUUUGGAUGUCGUGAUGUUAGGUCCAUUUCUAUGGGGCCCGCUGAGUCGUCUCUCCGUGUGAUUCGGGAGCGUCCAUGGUCGUCUCCCCGUGCGAUUCGGGGAGCGCCUGCGUCACAAUGUGGGAUGCCACCCGGGAUAACCAGAGACUGGACUAGUUUCCUGUUUAGUAACUUCCAGUAGAACCACAUGGUAUUAUGGGCUCUGCCAGGAUGGAUGUAAGAAAUAUGAACCUGGAUCCGAGGUGACAUCGGUAUGUAGCAGUGUAGGUUGGAACGCGUCCCUCAGGUGGUUUGGGGGAAUAUGUUCUGAAAAUUCCUGUAAUCGAUGCCGUUGCUACUCUACCCUGAGGACAGCAAGGGAUUAACACGUCGAUUUCUUGUGGGUAAAGUGUACCACCUCUCGAGAGUGUCAAACUAAGUACUUAGCCGUGUCCCCGGUUACGGACAAUUAUGAGCAACUAGAUAUUGGAGCUGUAAGGAAGGUCUCACUCAUUCCAAUUUCCUAAUAAAAUGAAUGGUUUGAACUGGGUAGGAGCAUUGAUGUUUCUACUCAAUGUGCCUAGGUUAAUAGGAGCAUGGGUGUUUCUACCCCGUGUCCAAUAGAAUUAAAACUAUUUGUUUAAAAAAUGAUAUGAUUGAACAAUGAUGCUUUUAUGCAAAUAGCCAAAACCCCACCUUGCCAAAUAUUGCAUGCACUUGAUAGGUUCUGUUAUAACCCUUUGGUGAACUUGCCAAUACAUUCAAUGUAUUGACCCCCUAGUGGCUGCAACGUUUAAAUGUUGCAGGUGAACCAGGUGAAGAGUGAGGUACGAAUUGUUAGGGUUGCGAGUUUACAUUCCAACAUGUUUCGACCGUGGAGUUGUUAUGGGGCUGCAAGAUUUUAUUUUCUUUUGAGAUAACCCAUGAGGUUAUGCAAUAUGUAAGUUACUACUAAAUUCUGGAUCAAUGCGAUGUAAUAUACUUUUGACCUUUGUAUCUUGAUAUUACAUCGUGAAACUGUGUGUGCUAGCGAGUCGAUCCAGGGACUAGCACAGUAAGCACAGAGAUCGAACCCUUGGUGAAGGGGGAUCGCUUCAAGGCUGGUGCUUCCCUUGUCAGGGUAAGAGCGAAUGAUCUUAUUCGCCAUUUCCUAAGAAUUGAGUUAGUCAAGUCCACUAUUUCAUAUACACGAAAAAGGUAUGAUAGGACAAGUGUAGGGCCGAUCCCCCCUAAUGGGUUAGAUCGCACCAAUAAAAAUUCCUUUUAUUCUAAGGCAAAGAUUGAAUCACUUAGCCAAUAUCAAGAAACUAUUGGCACCUUGUUGAAUCGAAAUAAAGACUACCAAUCUUUGAUGAUUUUGUCAGCAUCCAACUGUUUUCGAAUUGGUUUAUUCAAGAAUUCAAAACAUCCCAAUGCAAUAAAAGAAUCGAAUCCUAAAAUUCCUAUUGGAGAUAUUUUCGGGCCCCUAGGGGCUAUUGUACCUAGUAUAUUGAAUUUUCCUUCAUCUUACUAUUUACUAACGCAUAAUCAGAGCCGGUUAAAAAAAUAUUUGUUGCUUGACAAUUUACAACAAACCUUCCAAGUACUUCAAGGACUUAAGUAUUCUUUAAUAGAUGAAAAUCAAAGGAUUUGUAAUUUCGAUAGUAAUCUCCUGUUGGAUACAUUCUUUUUGAAUUAUCACUUUGCCCAUCAUGAUUCUUGGGAGAACACAUUGGCAAUAAUUCACCUUGGACAAUUUAUUUGUGAAAAUGUAUGUUUAUUUAAAUCGCACAUAAAAAAAUCAGGUCAAAUUUUCAUUGUUAAUAUGGAUUCCUUUAUUAUAAGAGAAGCUAAACCUUAUUUGGCCACUACAGGGGCAACUGUUAAUGGUCAUUAUGGAGAAAUCCUUUACAAGGGAGAUAGGUUAGUUACGUUUAUAUAUGAAAAAUCGAGAUCGAGUGACAUAACGCAAGGUCUUCCAAAAGUGGAACAAAUCUUUGAAGCGCGUUCAAUCGAUUCAUUAUCUCCGAAUCUGGAAAGGAGAAUUGAGGAUUGGAAUGAGCGUAUACCAAGAAUUCUUGGUGUCCCUUGGGGAUUCUUGAUUGGAGCUGAGCUAACCAUAGCCCAAAGUCGUAUCUCUUUGGUUAAUAAAAUCCAAAAGGUUUAUCGAUCCCAAGGGGUACAGAUCCAUAAUAGACAUAUAGAGAUUAUUAUACGCCAAGUAACAUCAAAAGUGCGGGUUUCCGAAGAUGGAAUGUCUAAUGUUUUUUCACCUGGGGAAUUAAUUGGACUAUUACGAGCGGAACGAGCAGGACGAGCUUUGGAUGAAUCGAUCUAUUAUCGAGCAAUUUUAUUGGGAAUAACAAGAGCUUCCCUUAAUACCCAAAGUUUCAUAUCGAAGCAAGUUUUCAAGAAACUACUCGGGUUUUAGCAAAAGCUGCCCUACGAGGUCGUAUUGAUUGGUUGAAAGGCCUGAAAGAAAACGUAGUUCUGGGGGGAAUUAUACCUGAUAGCAAAACCGGUAGCGACUUGUACUAGAAAGCAAGUAAGUGUAAUUCCCCCUAAACAAUAAAAUAUGUUGACAUGAGGAGGAACAUAUUUACUAGUUAUAUCAUCUGCAAUUGCCUGAAUCUCAAGACGUUCCUCAAACCAAUCAUAUACUUUAUUGAGAUAGGUAACUAACCUAAGUCCCCCUCUAAGAACCGUAUAUGAAAAUUUCAUCUCGUACGGCUCAAGCAGAAACACACAAAUUUUCAACGAAUAUUAGAAAAAAGGUUCAAAACUUCAUCAGCCACUGGAUUGGGUCGAUUUGCCUUGAAGAUAUGAAAUAAGAAAAAUCCGGAAUAUCCUCUUUGUAAUGCUAAUGCCAAAAAAUCUCAAGUUGGUUCAUCUGUCUUUCUUCCUUUCCCUUAUAUUGGUCAUUAGAGGCCUCUUGACUUUUCUCUUCCCUAUUUUUGAUUUAUUUUUUUGUGUGUAAUGCGGAUUUACUCUUUAUUUACUAGUAAAUAAAGAAAGCCAAAAUUCUAGUAGUUUUCUGAUAGAAAUUAUCUUGUUGCGAUCCUAUGAAUCAGUUCAAUUUAAACCUUAGAUUCAUACUAGAGCCACGAUGAUUGAGUCUCAAGCUAAACAAAAGGCAAGGGUUCUUCGAAUAAGAACCACUUGAUAAUCAUUUAUGGAAUCCGUGUAAUGACUCGACAAAAUGGAGAGAAAAUAAAGUUGUCUUUUGGGCAAACAAAAUUGGAAGGAAGAAAAUUUCUUUUCUUUUUAUUAAGAACUACUUCAAUUUUUUCAGUCUGGUUGCGAGGUCUGAAUAGUGGGUAUGAAUCAUAGUUCCAUUUUUUUUUGAUCCACUCUAUCUAUUUCGUGUUCCAGAUACUAGAAUAAAUAAUAUCUGACGAAUUAGAAUCAUAUUGAUAGAGAUAACAGGCCCUUUCUAUGUAUUAUCAAUAGGAUCAAUUUUAACAAGUCACACACUCAUAUUCCAGAGAUACCGAAACAAAAAAAUUCCGCAGUCGAACUACCAGAAUGUCUAGAAAUGUAGAGCUUAAACUAGAAAGGCUUUUUUUGGAUGGAAAAACUACGACUUCGUACUUUUAGUUAGUAGAAACCUAAUAGGUUAAAAUUCCGUCCAAUAAAACAGAAGAAUUAUAAAUUUCUAAAAUGAUAGAUAGGAAUAUCGCGAAUAAAGCCAUUGCGACCCCCAUAAAAGGAGUAGUCCCCCAACCUGGAGCUACUUUCCCAUAUUCCGAAUUCAAGGGUUUCAAUAAACUACCUGCACCAGUUCGUCUUGGUUUAGGUUUAGAACUAUCUUCAACGGUUUGCUGUAACAUCCCAAUUUUUAAAAUUCUUCAUAUGCAUUGCAUAUCAUAAGCAUCAUGUCACCCUUGCAUCUGAUCACUUUCAAAACCCUAAAGUUUUCCCAGAAAACCCUUUUGCAAAAAUGCUUUUAUUUGAUUUUGGGCUUUGAUCUUGCUCUUGAGUAUUUGCAUUUUUAACCCAUGAGGGUAUUGUGGUAAAAAGGGAUUUAAUGCAUAUAUAUAGAGCUAUCCCAUAAAUUGGCUUUUGAAAGUAUUUUUGAAAAAAAUAAUUUGAUUCGAUAGCCUAAGGGUCCUAAAAGCCAUUUUAUAGGCAAAUGUAUUUUUAAAUAUUUUAUUUUGAGAAAAUUCUUGCUCCAAAAGUUAGAUCAUAUGAAAAUAUGAUUUUACAAAUUUUGUUGCAUUUUAUUUGGAGUGAUUUGGAGCUCCGAAUCAAUUUUGAGGUUCAAAAACAGGAAAUAGAUAAAAGAAAAGGAAAAACCGGACCGAACCGGUCAAACCGGACCGGACCGGAUCGAACCGGACCGGGCCGGAUCGAACGGAACCGGCCCAGCCCGAACCGGCCGGCCACCCUCACUGACCGGUGGACCCCGCACGUCAUCUUCUCCAACUGUCUCCUCCGAAACCCCGCGCGUCAUAUCGAAGCCCCCGAACUCCUCUACCAAUUCCCCCAAACCCCACGCCCAAUUUCGCUUCGGUUUGAGAUUAAUUUCUCGCCGGAGUUACUCUCUGCCACCGCCGUUCAUCGCAAUUUGUCGCCGCUCCGGUGAGUUUCUCCCAUCCCCGGCCACCCUCCCGUUCUCCCCUCUCCCUAGCACAUCCGGUGACGCGCUCGGUUUCGAGGUUGGACGCCGUCCGCGCACCGCCGUUCACCGCCCGUCUUCCCCGCCUCCGGCCGCCUGCGCGCCCCAAGCCGCCCGAGCUCCCGCGCCCGUGCGCCGCCUGCCUGCGCGACCCGCCCACGCUGCCCCGCUCCGCCUUCUGCCUGCCCGCGCUACCCCCGCGCCGUCCGCGUGCUCCCGCGCCCCGCACCGCCCGCCCGCCCCGCGCGCGCCGCCCCAGCCGCCCGCCCGCCCCGCGCGCGCCCCGCUCCGCCUCCGGCCGCCCGCUCCGGCCGCCUGCCCGCGCCGCCUGCCGCCGGCCGGAACCCUAGCCCCGGGCCAACCCCGCCAUGCUACGUGGCAGUGCUUUUUAUUUUAUUUUAUUUUCGGCCGUAGUAGAUAAUGCAUAUUUGCAGAAAAACCCCUGUAACUUCAAAGCCUCAUAUCUUCCAAACCGUUUGUCCAAAAAUUGUGUUCCGCACCUUUCUGGAAUCGUCACAACGUGUAGAAUAUUUUGGCACUGUUUAAUUUCAGUUUUAAACAACUUAGACAGAAGCUAUUUACAGAAUGCUUGAAUAUGGUUUAAAUUUCAAAUGAAUUUUUUCAAAAUAGUUUUGAACAUGUUAUCUUGCUGUAAAAUUAUUUAAACUUGUUCUUUAUCCAUUAGGACCAGAAAAGAAAUUAUUUUGUGUAUAAUCAUGGCAUGCAAGUUAAAUAUUGCUCUAUGUUGCAAAAGCCGCACAAUCUUUUGUUUUAAACCCUAUCCAUGUAUCAUGCAUAUUAAUUACCUCUUUGAUGUUGUAUAAUCUGUCCAAAUCAUUUGAAAAACUUUUCAAAACAGAAACAAAACUUUUUACUUUAGAAGUAACCUUUGUUGUGCAUCAUCAUAGCAUAUGCAUCAUGGCAUGAUUUUGUAUUGAGUGUUGUGUUUAUUGUGUGCAUGUUUAUUUUAUUUUUAGAUUGUGUGGAGUGUAUUCCUUGUUGUUGCGAAGAGUGCGAGAACUAUCACAACCUUGGACAAGGCAAGUUCACUUUGAUCAUAUCCCAUUAUUAUUGUUGUUUUAAAAUACUUAUGCAUUAGUGUUGUUGGUAGAGAUGCAUUGAUAGGACUAUUACUCGUACCUCUAUGCUAGCUAUAAAUCCCAGGUAGUAUAGUUUACCCUCGCCAUUACCUUGCCACCAAAUUGCCAUCGUUUUUAGUUGAAUGCUAGGCUAUGGUAGUAUCGUCGGGGAAAUAACUACAUUAUGAUAUUGAUAUGCCUUUGGCUAUAUGAAAUGUUUUUGUUAGAUGUAAGGCAAAACAACUAAUUCAAUGAACCAUCCUGGGUGGGCUGCUUUGAGAAUUUUGAGGAUUAGCGGCGUCAGGUCCAUUUCUAUGGGUCCCUCUGAGUCGAGUUCCUGUGGAUUCAGGAAUGGAUCGUCCAUGGACGUCUCUCCCGUGGAUUCGGGGAGCGCCUACGUUGCAAAUGUGGAAUGCCACCUGGGGUAACUGAGACUGGACUAGUUUCCUAUUUAGAAGCUUCUAGUACAACCACAAUGCUAUAUGGGCUCUGGCGAGACAAGAGUAAGUUGUAUGAACCUAAACCCGAAGAAUUGUACUGAGGUAGCCGUGUAGGGGGAGCGUGAUUCUCUCGUGGUUUAGGGAAUUACCUCUGAAAAUCUCGUAAUCGAUGCCGUUGCUACUCUACCCUGAGGACAGCAAGGGAUUAACACGUCGGUUUCUUGUGGGGAAUGUGUACAAACUCUCGAGAGCGUCAAAACUAAGUACUUAGCCGUGUCCCCGGCAACGGACAAUUUGAGCAACUAGAUGUGGAGCUGUAAGGAAAGUCUCACUCAUUCCAAUUUCUUAAAUAAAAUGAAUGGUUUGAACAGGGUAGGAGCACUUGAAGAAUCCACUUCAAUGUACUCUAGGUUAAUAGGAGCAUGGGUGUGUCUACCCCGUGUCUAUUAGUUAACAUUAUUAUAACAUUCCUUUGUAGUCGGGUAAUUUAUGUUCUGCUUCCACGCAAACAGCCUGAACUCCACCUUGCCAAAUACUGCAUAUACUUGGUAGGUUCUGAUAUAACUCCUAGUGAAUCUUGCCAAUACAUUGAAUGUAUUGACCCUAGUGGCUGCAUCGUUUAAUGAUGCAGGAAGCUCCGACGACGAGUAAGAUGUACGUUCUACUUGUUUGGGUUACGGGCCUACAUUCCAACACGCUCUCACCGUGGUGUUGAUGUGCCCUUGUAUCUUUCGCUUUCCGCUGCUAAACAAUUGUUUUCUUUCCAGCUAACCCGUGAGGUUAUGCGAGUUGUAAGUACCUUUUAAAUUCUGGAUGAUUCGUUGUAAUAUUGAGACCUUUGUUCUAUGAUAUUACAUCUUGAAACUGUGUGUGCUAGUGAGUCGAUCCAGGGACUAGCACUAAAGCACAAAGAUCGAACCCGUAUACGGGGGCGGUCGCUUCAUUUGCGUAGCCAUAAAUUCGAUUUAAUCGUUGGUGUUGACUUUGUAUACUAUUCCGUUGUAGUUGUAAAUACACGAUCUUUUUGUAGAUCCAUUGUAAUCUUUAAAUUCUAUAAAAAUGGAAACAACAACUUUAGUCGCCAUCUCCAUAUCUGGUUUACUUGUAAGCUUUACUGGGUAUGCCUUAUAUACCGCGUUUGGGCAACCCUCUCAACAAUUAAGAGAUCCAUUCGAAGAACACGGGGACUAAUGGAAGUAAGAAGUCUACCAGAUGGGUAGACUUCUUACUUCCAUAAAAUUAUUUUACUCUUUUAGUUGGAACCUUAGGCGGUUCUCGGAAGAAGAUAGCGAAAAAAAUUAUCCCUAAAGUCGAAACUAAAAGGAACGUAUAAACCAAUGCUUCCAUAGAUUCGAUCGUGGUUUAUUUACAAUUAUAACUUCCACACCUAUUCAUUUGUCAUUUGGGAUAAUUUCCCAUAUAAAGAAAGAAAACCAUAUAAACAAAGAAAAAAAGUAAAAGAAAGGAUGGGAGAUGUUUCCCAUGCCAAAUCAAAAAAGAAAGGUGAAAUGAAAGAUACCAUAACAAUGUGUAUCAGACUGCCUGUUUCCUUGUAGUAGGAUCUCCAACUUUUUGGAAUGUUCCAAACUCCACUUGAGCAUCCAAAUCUGGAUCAAUACCAGCAAAAAUAUCUCGGAACAAGGUUCUAGCGCCAUGCCAAAUGUGUCCGAAAAAGAAGAGCAAAGCAAAGGUAGCAUGACCAAAAGUGAACCAACCCCUUGGACUGCUGCGAAAAACACCAUCCGAUUUCAAAGUAGCCCGAUCUAAUUCAAAAAUUUCCCCUAAUUGAGAACGCCUCGCAUAUUUUUUUACAGUAGCAGGAUCAGAAUAACUUACUCCAUUAAGUUCGCCACCAUAGAACUCUACUGUUACGCCUACUUGUUCAACACUAUAUUUGGAUUCUGCUCUUCUAAAAGGAACGUCCGCACUCACAAUUCCCUCUUCAUCUACCAAAACAACCGGAAAUGUUUCAAAAAAAGUAGGCAUACGGCGUACAAAAAGCUCGCGUCCUUCUUUAUCUCUAAAGACGGGAUGUCCUAACCAUCCAACAGCUAUUCCAUCCCCAUUGUCCAUUGAGCCUGCUCUGAAUAAUCCCCCUUUUGCUAGAUUAUUACCAAUAUAAUCAUAAAAGGCUAAUUUUUCGGGAAUUUUAGACCAAGCUUCUGAUAAACUAAGAUUUUCGGAUAAACCAUUGCUAACUCUUCGAUAUAUUUCUUGCUGAAAGUAUCCCUGAUCUCACUGAUAACGAGUAGGCCCAAAUAAUUCGAUUGGGGUGGUUGCUGACCCAUACCACAUAGUUCCAGCAACUACGAAAGCUGCAAAAAAAACAGCAGCAAUACUACUGGAAAGUACAGUUUCAAUAUUGCCCAUACGUAAUCCUUUGUAUAGACGUUGAGGGGGACGGACACUAAGAUGGAAUAGGCCCGCUAAUAUACCCAAUGUACCCGCAGCAAUAUGAUGAGAAGCUGUUCCCCCCGGAACAAAAGGAUCAAAACCUUCUGCACCCCACGCCGGAUUUACAGCUUGUACUUUUCCAGUUAGUCCAUAAGGAUCGGACACCCAUAUCCCAGGACCAUACAAACCCGUUACAUGAAAUGCCCCAAAGCCAAAGCAAGCCACCCCUGCAAGAAAUAAAUGAAUUCCAAAGAUCUUGGGCAAAUCUAAAGAGGGUUUUCCUGUCCGAUCAUCAGAGAAUAUUGCUAGGUCCCAAUAUACCCAAUGCCAGAUAGCUGCCAAGAAACACAAGCCAGAAAACACAAUAUGCGUACCUGCCACACCUUCAUAACUCCAAAUACCCGGAUUUGUUACAGUUCCUCCUGAAAUACUCCAACCACCCCACGAAUCUGUUAUUCCUAAACGAGUCAUGAAGGGAAUGACGAACAUACCUUGUCUCCACAUUGGAUCCAGAACAGGAUCAGAGGGAUCAAAAACCGCUAAUUCGUAUAAAGCCAUCGAGCCAGCCCAACCAGAAACUAGAGCUGUGUGCAUUAUAUGCACCGCAAGCAAUCGACCCGGAUCAUUCAAUACGACAGUAUGAACACGAUACCAAGGCAAACCCAUGGAAAUACCUCUUUAGCAAAGAAAAAUAGACACGAUGUCGCUUUAUUUUAUCGCAUUGUAAAAGACUAUCCAUAUCCUAUGGACCUAACCCUUCUAUGGGAUUCUGUGUCAGAAAGCAUGAAUAUUUAUUUCAUUCCAUUAAAAAAAAGAAGCUAAUUCUGUUUAUAAUACGAAAAAGAAGCAGAUCUAUUCUAUACUCGAUAAGUCCCAAUAUGCAAUGGGUAACUUGGCCGAUUUGGAAAAAACCAAGAAUAGAUCCCUACCCCUCUUUGGUUAUGAUUCGAAUCACCGAUUCCUUUUUUCUUUAUUCAAUCUGUGUUAUCUUCUUUAUAUGUAUAACCUUUCAAUCUAUGUAUUAUUUCAAUCUACAUAUUAAUAGAAUAUAUAGUAUUCAUAUAGAAUAAGAAUAAAAAUGAAGACAAUAAAUCGGAGAUUCUUUCUUUCUCUUCCAUUCUUACGUUUCCAUAUUAAAGUAUAGUUUUCUUACUUAAAUUUAAUAAUAUUAAUCUAAUAUGCCCAUUGGUGUUCCAAAAGUACCUUACCAGAUUCCCGGAGAUGAAGAAGCGACUUGGGUUGACUUAUACAAUGUUAUGUAUCGAGAAAGGACACUUUUUUUAGGUCAAGAGAUUCGUUGCGAGAUCACGAAUCAUAUUACAGGUCUCAUGGUAUAUCUCAGUAUAGAAGAUGGAAUUAGUGAUAUUUUUUUGUUUAUAAACUCCCCAGGCGGAUGGCUAAUCUCAGGAAUGGCUAUUUUUGAUACGAUGCAAACGGUGACACCGGAUAUAUAUACAAUAUGCCUCGGAAUAGCUGCGUCCAUGGCGUCCUUCAUUCUGCUUGGAGGAGAACCCACCAAGUGUAUAGCAUUCCCUCACGCGAGGAUUAUGCUUCACCAACCUGCUAGUGCUUAUUAUCGAGCAAGGACACCAGAAUUUUUACUAGAAGUGGAAGAGUUACACAAAGUUCGCGAAAUGAUCACAAGGGUUUAUGCACUAAGAACAGGCAAGCCUUUUUGGGUUGUAUCCGAAGACAUGGAAAGGGAUGUUUUUAUGUCAGCAGACGAAGCCAAAGCUUAUGGGCUUGUCGAUAUUGUAGGGGAUGAAAUGAUUCACGAGCACUGCGAUACUGAUCCAGUGUGGUUUCCAGAAAUGUUUAAGGAUUGGUAGUGCCCGGAUUUCUUGUAAAGUUAUUUCACACCUAAAUUCGGGUUUUCUUCGAUUUAAUAGAAAAUAGAAAGACUUCAUGAUGAUCAAUCAUCAGGUUAAGAUGGAUCUAAACCAAUCCACUUUUUUCUAUAUACAUACAACAUGCCAACGGUUAAACAACUUAUUAGAAACGCAAGACAGCCAAUACGAACUGCUAGAAAAACAGCCGCGCUUAAAGGAUGUCCUUAGCGUCGAGGAACAUGUGCUAGGGUGUAUGUGCGACUCGUUCAGAUCAUGACUUCAAAAAAAUAAAAAAAAUUGAAGUAGCCAUGAUUGGUACCGAUGAAUAGGAUAUAGCUUCUCUAUCCUAGAUUUCUAUGAUAUAUGGAAUUUGUGGUUUCCUUUGGUGCAAAUCCAGUUAUCUAAAUUGGAAAUAAGAAGCAAUUCCUCCAUUGGUAGCAAAUAGUUAUCCAUUAGCGGAGGAAAAAGUAAUAAAAAGAAAAAGGCUUAUGUUCCUUUAUCUUAAAAGAACGGACUAACAGGGUCAGCUACUUAGCUAACUUUCAUAAUUAAAUGCCAUCACUGUAUGGAUAACUCUUAUUGUGAAAAGAGCUAUUUACUCUAUAAUGGAUAGGUAGAGCCAAAGAAUGUGAACUAUACAAGUUCACAAUACCUUUUGAUAAAAGAAGGGGCUCCGGUGUAUAGAGAGGGCCUCGCCAUUUAAAAGGGAACCAUAGAAACGAUGGAACCCACUAUUUUUUUAGUAUCAUUAGAAUUAAUUUGUUAUUUCGCAUAGAAAUAACUGAAGGGAGUAGAAAAAAAAUCGUGGUUGGGAAGGUUACUAAAGCAAAAGCCAUUGGAAUUAAUAUUUUAUAUAUCGGAAUAAUUCGUUUUGUUAUUAAUGGGGAAAAGGAUGGCUAAAAGAAGAGAAAUCAUUAGUUAUUCAUUAAGGUUAAUUUGAUUCAAUGACCAGAGUUCCGCGAGGAUAUAUAGCCCGGAGACGACGAACAAAAAUGCGUUCAUUUGCCUCAAAUUUUAGAGGGGCUCAUUUAAGACUUAAUCGAAUGAUUACCCAACAGGUAAAAAGAGCUUUUGUUUCCUCUCAUCGAGAUAGAGGUAGGCAAAAGAGGGAUUUUCGCCGUUUGUGGAUCACUCGGAUAAACGCAGCAACGCGGAUAUUUAAAGUAUUCGAUAGUUAUAGUAAAUUAAUACACAACCUAUAUAAGAAGAAAUUGAUUCUUAACCGUAAAAUGCUUGCACAAGUCGCUGUAUCAAAUCCAAAUAACCUUUACACGAUUUCCAAGAAAAUCAAGAUCAUCAAUUAAAAGGAUAAAUAAAGUAAUAUACUGGAAUAAUAAAAACCGAAUUCCCGGAGAGGGGACUCCGGGAAGACACAAUAAUUUAAGAUUAAGUGGUAGGAAUCAACGAGCUGGAUUACUUUCUUUAUAAUAUAUAUAGGCCUGGCCCUUUCGAAUAAAACAUCAACAAUCGGAACUUAAGUUCCGAUUGUUGUUUCUUAAAUUUUGGUUAUAGUUUCUUACGUUUCGAUUGGAACUGUACUUUUGCGUUAAUUGAGGAAUAUGUCUAUUUUUUCUGGGUCUAGAACCUGUAAUUAUUGAAAUUGACUGGGCUUGAAAUUGCUUUUCGUUCUCAUAGUUACGAAAUGGUAAGAAAGAUAAAAUACGCGCUUGUUUUAUAGCAAGAGUAAUUAAUCGUUGUUGUUUCAAGGUUAAUCGAUUUAUUCGUCUCGAUAAUAUUUUUCCCUGUUCACUAAUAAAUCGAUUAAUCAAACUCAUGUUUCUAUAAUCAAUUCGAUCUCCCGGGCCAAUCCGAGGACGCCUACGAAAAGGUUGUUUGGAUUUACGAAAAGUUUGCUUGGAUUUACAAAAGGGUUGCUUGGAUUUAUUAAAAGUUUGCUUGGAUUUACGAAAGGGUUGCUUAGAUUUAAGAAAAGGUUGUUUAGAUGUAUACAUGAUUUAUUCCUUAUUUAAAAUUUUAAAAUUAAUAAAAGAAACUUCAUUUCUUUAUUUUAUUAAUUUAGGAUCGAGAAGAAGUAGUCUUUCUUUAAUCCAUAUCUUAAUCUUAUUUGACUCAUAUUCUUAAUCUUAUUUGAUUCAUAUUAUAGUAUAUGAAUACCCUCUAGACAUAUGAAAUAAUAUCUACCUAAAAUAAUAUGAGUUGAUUUUUAUUUUGUAUUGUAUCUAUGUUUUAUUUAUAUAUUAAAUAAAAUAGGAAGUUCUUACUCUUUCUGUUCUUUGGAAAGAUCGAACACACGAUCUUCCUAUUUCUUUAUUUCGUGAUGAGUCGUGUGCUUGCGACAAUAACGACAAAAAAAAUUGAAUUCUAAUUGUCUGGGUGUAUUGUGGCGAUUCUUUUCAGUACUAUAUCUAGAAAUUCCCGUCGAUUCCUCAUUGGCACCUUUUCGAACACAACUGAUGCAUUCCAAAAUAACUCUGAUUCUAACAUCUUUCCCCUUGGCCAUGAACCUCCUUUUCUUUUUGGUUGGAUUGACUUAACUUAAUUCUUCUACUUAUUUAUUCUUUUAUUCUUCUAUUUUGAAUCCGAAGAAGAAGAAUAAAAUCCAUUAGAAUAUAAUUUUUUUGAAAUUCUUAAAUUAAGUAAUAAAAAUAGAGAAAUAAUUAAAGAAUACAAUCCUUGUCGAAUUAGCAAAGAUUUUGUUUCGAAAUCCUUUCAUUUAAUUAGUCAGCCGGGCCUUUUUCUAUGCUCUGAUUUCUUUGGAUAUCGCUUUUAAUUGAAUUUCCGUUUUCCAAAAUGGGAUUUACCAAAAAAUUUCAUGACUCUGAGGUUCAGCCCAAUCCAGCAUUUCGUUCUUUUUCCUUCCGAUACUAAAAAAGGAUUGAAAAGGGUAAAAAUUUCUUCAUGUCAUGAAGAAUUCGAUUUCUAAUAAACAAAUGAUAUAGUAUACCACCUAACGAUUUUGUUUCCCCUAUGAGGUAAAAAGAAAAUUAAUGAACCUGCAAAUAUCGGCAAAACUAUAAGUAUUGUUAACCAAGGAAAAUAACUCAUGAUAAAGUGAUAAAGAUAAGAUACGUUUUGCCCACAAAAGCCCGUGCUCGAUUAUUUCGAGCACAGGCUUCUUCGGUAAAGAGGAAUCAGACGAUUCAAGUGGAGUUUUUUGUAACGUAUCAAUAAGAUAGAGCCAUGCUACGGGUUGUUUCAGGCCCUAAAUAAACGCGGACGCUUAAAAAAUCUGUCGAACAGGCGGAUUCGCAUCUCUUGCAACCCACACAAUCUUCGGUUCUUGGCGCGGAAGCAAUUUGCUUGGCUUUACAUCCAUCCCAGGGUAUCAUUUCUAAUACAUCUGUUGGACAAGCUCGUACACAUUGAGUGCAUCCUAUACAUGUAUCAUAAAUUUUUACAGAAUGUGACAUUGGAUCUAUAAAUUUUUCUUUUCAACAUAAAUUUUUUCCGAUCUGGUAAAUUAGUACUGUAUGAGUCAUAUGUAUUGUAGACACCAGACGAAGCAAUGGUUUGUCCAAACUUCAAAAAAAAAUCUAUUUUUUAAUCUGUUUGUGAGAAAGCGUGAAAAGAGCCAAGAGACUUAAAUUUUGGACUUCAACAAUCAUAAUUAUACGAAUUUAGAAUUCGCCAAUAAAUUGGCUACCGUCUUUUCAAUAUAAAUUAUUGCAAUAUUCAAAUUGCAAUAUCAAUGAAUUAGAAAAAUUCAUUUAAGUAAAAAAGAAUACUAUGCAAUAACCUACUAAAAAAAGGAUAUUCUCAAAUAAUAAUAAGAAAAUCGUAUUCGAUUUCUAUUCAUCUUACAUAUUAGAGAUUAUUAUUAUAUGUACUCCUUUGUUUAGAGUAUUCUAUGUCUAAUUAUUCAAGAAAUUAGAUUGAUUGAUACAAGUUGAUUUCCUAUUACGAUGGAUGGAAGAAAGAAUGGAUAGUCCAAUAGCGGCUUCAGCAGCCGCAAGGGCUAUAACAAAAAUUGCGAAAAUGUCUCCUUUUAAUUGGCGACUAUCAAAUAGAUCAGAAAAUGUUACGAGAUUCAGUAUAAGUUCAAGACAUAUUAGAGCUCUAACCAUGUUUCGGCUUGUGAUCAAUCCAUAGAUACCAAUCGAAAAUAAAUAGACACUCAAAAAAAGUACAUGCUCAAACAUCAUUAACGAACUCCUUAUCAAUCUCGAUUCAUUUCAAUAUGAGGACAAGAAUUGAAUCGAUUCAAUUAAUUACAAUAAAACAAUUACACAAGAAAAGAGAAAAGAAGGUAUUUGUUGGCAGUAGAUGGAUUUUACUAAAUCAAAAUUGAGAUUCUUUAGUUAUUUUUUUUAGAUUUGUAAUUCUUAUAAUUUUUACUCUUUCUAAGUUUUCUUAUUGCCGAGCCAUAGUAAUAGCACCUAUUAAAGAAACUAGAAGAAUUAUGGAAAUGAGUUCAAACGGAAGAUAAAAAUCGGUUGCUAAAUGAAUCCCAAUUUAUUGAACAUUAUUUAUGAGACCCUGCUCUACUAUUUGGUUGGAUCUUGUAGUCCAAAGAAUUCCAUACCAUGAUGUAUCUGGGAUAGUAGUCAUUCGUGAAAAAACAAUAGUUAUACAAACGAGUGAAGUGAACCCAUCUCCAAUAGUCCAAUAAUUCUUAUCUUUAGACCAUUCUGAACCAUUUACGAACAUUACAGCGAAUAUGAUCAAGACAUUUAUGGCUCCUACAUAAAUAAGAAGUUGUGCGACAGCUACAAAGUAGGAAUUCAAUAAAAAAUAGAAUAAGGAUAUACAAACAAGAACUAAUCCCAGCGAAAAGGCAGAAUAAAUGGGGUUGGUAAGUAAUACUAGUCCUAGACCCCCUAGUAGAAGAACAAAUCCCAAAAAUAGCACAAGAAUCUCGUGUAUUGGUCCGGGUAAAUCCAUUAUGGAUAAAAAUAAAUUAAUAGUAUAAAUUUUUUCAUGAAUUGACUAAAACUAAAGGAUUCAAGGGAGGAAAAAGGGAUUAGGAUAUUUUUUUGUGUAUAAGCUGUAUAGUUAGAAAUUCUAUCACGAAAAUCUAGUAUGAUUUAAAAUAAGAAAUAAUUUGCAAUAAAAUAAGCGGUAGUUAUUAGCUUUUCUUUAUAGUUAGUAAAGAAUUGUUCGAUUUUUAUAACAAAAAAGAAAAAAUCCUAGUUUAGUAAUCAGUAAUCGUUCUUGAAUUUGAAGAUAAAUCUUCGUCUAUUUGACUUUCAGCCGAAUUUCGAAUUGUUUGAAUUGUGUAAUCCCCCAUUAUGGAGAUUGGUAACCGGCUUAAAGCAAUUUGAUUAUAAUUCAAUUCAUGCCGAUCAUAAGUAGAUAGUUCAUAUUCUUCCGUCAUUGAUAAACAGCUUGUUGGACAGUACUCAACACAAUUACCACAAAAUAUACAAACUCCGAAAUCAAUACUAUAAUUAAGCAAUUGUUUCCUUUUAACAGCCUUUUCAAAUCUCCAAUCCACAAUGGGGAGAUCUAUCGGACAUACGCGAACACAAACUUCACAAGCAAUACAUUUAUCAAAUUCAAAGUGGAUUCGUCCCCGAAAACGCUCCGGUGUAAUUGAUUUUUCGUAAGGGUAGUGAAUCGUUAUGGGUAAACGAUUUGUGUGGGAUAAGGUAGUUAUGAAACUUUGACCAAUGUACCUUGUAGCACGUAUUGUUUGUUGGCCAUAACUCAUGAACCCAGUUACCAUAGGGAACAUAUUCUAAAUAUCUAUGAAAAAGGUAUGUUUCUUUCUCUUGUUUGAGAGAGCUUUUGUGUUGAAAAUAUUCUUACUGUUAUUCUAUUAUCUUAUUUAGAGUGAAACAAGUUGGGAAGAGAUUGUUAAUAAGAGAUUACCCAGGGAAAUAGGUAAAAGAAAUUUCCAUCCAAGAUUUAAUAACUGAUCGAUUCUCAUCCUGGGUAAAGUCCAUCUUAUUGUGAUAGAAAUGAAGAGAAAUAAAUAAGCUUUAGUUAAUGUAAUAAAGAUACCCAUUGUCAUUUCUAAAAUCCCAACUGCUUUAUUCAUUUGGAAAAAAUCAAAAAAGGAUAUAUAGGGAAUAGAUAAAUCCCACCCGCCUAAGUAGAGAUAAAGAGGAAACUAAUAAAUUUAGGUAAGAAACAAGAUAAAAUAAACCAUAUUUUAUACCGGAAUAUUUGGUUUGAUAACCUGCUACUAAUUCUUCUUCUGCUUCUGGUAAAUCAAAGGGUAAUCUUUCACAUUCUGCCAAAGAAGAAAUUAGAAAAACCAGAAAACCUAUAGGCUGGCGCCAAAUAUUCCACCCAAAAAAACCAUAUUUGGACUGUGCUUCAACUAUAUCAACUGUACUUGAACUGUUAGAUAAUCAUAGUCGAUGAUAACAUCACAGUUCCCACCGCUAUUCCAAAACCGUACAUGAAACCUUAGCUUCAUACGGCUUCUCUAUGAUCAGAAAAAGGGAAGGGCUGUUUCCUUUCGGUAUGAGCCUCUGGGGCGUGGAUAGAAUUAUUUUCUAGGCAAAAUAAAAUCGAUUGGAAAGCCCUAAAUUAGACCAAAGAAAUUCUGUCUGCUAGAAUAAGAGCGCUUCCGAAUUGAUCUCAUCCUUUAUAAUAUAAUUAAAAUUGUUCUUUGUUAAGUACUAACUUAAUCUUGGAAUAAAACACUCGUUAUAGGAAUUCUAUUAAUAAAUGGAAAGAAUUGGGCAUUAGUUCAGGAAGAAUUCUGUAUGAAUAUGGAUAGAGUCAAAAAAGAUUGACUAAUCGAAAGAAAAACAAAAAAGGAAUUCCAUUGAAUUUUAUUUUUAUUGAUCAAUUAGAAUUGCCUUCUAGAACGUAUAAUUAUCUCAAAAGGGCCAAUAUACAUACACUAUUGGACCUUUUGAGUAAGACUGAAGAAGAUCUUAUGAGAAUUGACAGUUUUCGUAUGGAAGAUGGAAAACAGAUAUGGGACACUCUAGAGAAGCAUCUCCCAGUUGAUUUACUUAAGAAUAAGCUCUCGUUUUAAAUCCAUUGCAAUUUUUGGCUCUUCUUCUUUUUCGAGUUAGGAUAAAAAGAAAAAAACAAGUUUGCAUCUUCAGGAGAAUCUAUAUUUUCGUGAAAUGGAUCAUAAUAAAAUGUAUUUUAGGUAUCUAGGGAAAAUUCACUUCGAAGUAACUAUUUCCUAGAUACCUAUGCACGGUACUUCACGGUUGAAUGAAUCAACCUGAAAAAUACCUAAAAAAGGCCUAAAGUUAAGGAUUUAUCAAUGGGUAAUGUUGCUCCAAUACCUAACCAAAGAGCUACUGCAGUACCGAUUAAAAAAACGGUCGUAGCUACCGGGCAACGAAAUGGAUUUUGGAAUUUGUUGACAUUCUCUAGAAAAGGUACUGUCAAUAAGCCUGUUGGCACAGAAACCAUUAAGACAACGCCCAAUAACUUAUUGGGUACCAUACGGAGUAUUUGAAACACGGGAAAGAAGUACCACUCGGGUAAUAUUUCCAAAGGAGUUGCAAACGGAUCCGCGGGUUCACCAAUCAUUGAUGGCUCGAGAACAGCUAAACCUACAUUACAUGCAAUAGUACCUAGAAUUACUACUGGAAAAAUAUAUAAAAGAUCGUUGGGCCACGCGGGUUCGCCGUAAUAAUUAUGUCCCAUCCCUUUAGCUAAUUUUGCUCUUAAUACAGGAUCAUUUAAGUCUGGUUUCUUUGUUAUUGGGAUAGGUGAACUCUUUAGGAUCCAUCCCCCAAAGGAACCGGACAUGAGAAUUUAUCAUCAUCCGUCUCGAGCAAUAAAGAAAGAAAUAAGACCGCGGAAGAUCCAUAAUAAUAAUAGAAUAAGGUAUAUAAUUACUCAAUGACUCUAGGCAAGAAAAGCUUUAUCAAAUUAUCUUUCCGAAGUUCCACCUACAACUACUCAUUGAAAAUAAUCCUAUUCUUAUGGGUAAAUGCUCAAUAUCCAAGUGGGCUUACAAAUUUGAUCAUGAUCAAUUGCUUUGUGGAUUGUCUCAUGUCUCUUGAUUAGUUGGUCUUUAUCCCCUCACUAUCGCAAGUUUCUUACGCCCAAAUAAAGUAUUUACUUGUUACUAAUAAAAAAAUCAAAAAGUUUAGCCUAUGCUCUUCCUUAGAUCCCUUCUUUUACUCCGAUAGUAUUGCGAAUCACAAUCGAUGCAAAGAAAAUGAAUGCAUUUCCAUACCAUAAUAAAAAAAGGUAAGUGUAAUAAAUAGAGAAUUGGAUCAUGUCACGUGACUUAUUCCAUUUCUACUCUAUGGGAUCUUACGGAGCCUUUUCAUGGAUGACAUGGUUGGGGUAUGAUCAUAGAAAAUAUUCUCCUCAAGUGAACCAGCCUAUCCUUCCUAGGUAGGGGACUUACGUGUUGAUUGGAUGCGGAGACACCUUUGGUUGUGAAUUCUAAUGUGGCAGAUCCAAUUCUUUAUCUGCAUGGCCAAAUCUAUAAUUCAAGUCACACACUCCCAUAAUCCGCCUUUUUUUAUUUUGUAAAAUUAACUUCAACUAUUUGUAUUAUAUCAAAAUACUUCGGAGUUGAAGAGAAGUAUCCAAAUGACAUGUGUUAUUUUACAAUAACCCAUGUUUGUAGCAAUGAAAUACCACAACCUACCCAAUAUUAUAUACGAGAAUUCUAAUUCUCUAUGAUAUGCCUUCCCUAUAAAGGACCCGAAAUACCUUGCUUACGUAUCAUUGGAAAGUGCAUUAACAUAAAUACGGCAGUAAGCAGAGGAAGUACAAAGGUAUGUAAACUAUAAAAACGAGUCAAAGUGGAUUGGCCCACACUAGCACUUCCACGUAAUAACUCCGCUAGAGGUGAUCCUAUUAUCGGAAUCGCAUCAGGUACACUUGUCACAAUUUUGACUGCCCAAUAACCAAUUUGAUCCCAAGGCAAAGAAUAACCCGUUACACCAAACGAUGCAGUCAAAACAGCCAAAACCACACCUGUGACCCAAGUUAAUUCGCGGGGUUUUUUAAAUCCACCUGUGAGAUACACACGAAAUACAUGUAGGAUCAUCAUUAGAACCAUCAUACUUGCUGACCAUCGAUGAACUGAUCGGAUUAACCAACCAAAGUUGGCCUCGGUCAUUAUGUAUUGAACCCAGGAAAAAGCCUCUGUAACAGUUGUGCGAUAGUAAAAAGUCAUAGCAAAACCGGUAGCGACUUGUACUAGAAAGCAAGUAAGUGUAAUUCCCCCUAAACAAUAAAAUAUGUUGACAUGAGGAGGAACAUAUUUACUAGUUAUAUCAUCUGCAAUUGCCUGAAUCUCAAGACGUUCCUCAAACCAAUCAUAUACUUUAUUGAAAUAGGUAACUAACCUAAGUCCCCCUCUAAGAACCGUAUAUGAAAAUUUCAUCUCGUACGGCUCAAGCAGAAACACACAAAUUUUCAACGAAUAUUAGAAAAAAAGGUUCAAAACUUCAUCAGCCACUGGAUUGGGUCGAUUUGCCUUGAAGAUAUGAAAUAAGAAAAAUCCGGAAUAUCCUCUUUGUAAUGCUAAUGCCAAAAAAUCUCAAGUUGGCUCAUCUGUCUUUCUUCCUUUCCCUUAUAUUGGUCAUUAGAGGCCUCUUGACUUUUCUCUUCCCUAUUUUUGAUUUUAUUUUUUGUGUGUAAUGCGGAUUUACUCUUUAUUUACUAGUAAAUAAAGAAAGCCAAAAUUCUAGUAGUUUUCUGAUAGAAAUUAUCUUGUUGCGAUCCUAUGAAUCAAUUCAAUUUAAACCUUAGAUUCAUACUAGAGCCACGAUGAUUGAGUCUCAAGCUAAACAAAAGGCAAGGGUUCUUCGAAUAAGAACCACUUGAUAAUCAUUUAUGGAAUCCGUGUAAUGACUCGACAAAAUGGAAAG
rnacentral:lncRNA from 1 species